GAGAGUCGAGCGGAUGAAAGGAGCUUGCUCCUGGAUUCAGCGGCGGACGGGUGAGUAAUGCCUAGGAAUCUGCCUGGUAGUGGGGGACAACGUUUCGAAAGGAACGCUAAUACCGCAUACGUCCUACGGGAGAAAGCAGGGGACCUUCGGGCCUUGCGCUAUCAGAUGAGCCUAGGUCGGAUUAGCUAGUUGGUGAGGUAAUGUCUCACCAAGGCGACGAUCCGUAACUGGUCUGAGAGGAUGAUCAGUCACACUGGAACUGAGACACGGUCCAGACUCCUACGGGAGGCAGCAGUGGGGAAUAUUGGACAAUGGGAGAAAGCAUGAUCCAGCCAUGCCGCGUGUGUGAAGAAGGUCUUCGGAUUGUAAAGCACUUUAAGUUGGGAGGAAGGGCAGUAAGUUAAUACCUUGCUGUUUUGACGUUACCGACAGAAUAAGCACCGGCUAACUCUGUGCCAACAGCCGCGGAAAUACAGAGGUUGCAAGCGUUAAUCGGAAUUACUGGAUGUAAAGCGCGCGUAGGUGGUUUGUUAAGGUCGCCGGUAAAUUCCCUGGGCUCUAACCCGUGAACUGCAUCCCCAACUGGCAAGCAAUAGAAGGGUAGAGGGUGGUGGAAUUUCCUGUG
rnacentral:rRNA from 1 species